rnacentral:rRNA from 1 species
AUACGUAGGGGGCGAGCGUUGUCCGGAAUGAUUGGGCGUAAAGGGCGCGUAGGCGGCUUUGCAAGUCAGUAGUGGAAGUCCAUUUUUCAAGGAUGGAAGUGCUACAGAAACUGCGGAGCUUGAGUGCAGGAGAGGUUACCGGAAUUCCCGGUGUAGCGGUGAAAUGCGUAGAGAUCGGGAGGAACACCAGUGGCGAAGGCGGGUAACUGGACUGCAACUGACGCUGAGGCGCGAAAGUGUGGGGAGCAAACAGGAUUAGAUACCCUGGUAGUCCACACUGUAAACGAUGAAUGCUAGGUGUAGGAGGUAUCGACCCCUUCUGUGCCGCAGUAAACACAGUAAGCAUUCCGCCUGGGGAGUACGGUCGCAAGAUUAAAACUCAAAGGAAUUGACGGGG